GUUUGAUCCUGGCUCAGGACGAACGCUGGCGGCGUGCUUAACACAUGCAAGUCGAGCGGAAAGGCCCCUUCGGGGGUACUCGAGCGGCGAACGGGUGAGUAACACGUGGGUAACCUGCCCUUGGCUUUGGGAUAACCUCGGGAAAUCGGGGCUAAUACCGAAUAUGACACGCGACCGCAUGGUCUGUGUGUGGAAAGAUUUUUCGGCUGAGGAUGGACUCGCGGCCUAUCAGCUUGUUGGUGGGGUAAUGGCCUACCAAGGCAUCGAUGGGUAGCUGGUCUGAGAGGACGAUCAGCCACACUGGGACUGAGACACGGCCCAGACUCCUACGGGAGGCAGCAGUGGGGAAUCUUGCGCAAUGCGCGAAAGCGUGACGCAGCAACGCCGCGUGGGGGAAGACGGCCUUCGGGUUGUAAACCCCUUUCAGGAGGGACGAAGGUUCGCCGGUGAAUAGCCGUGUGGAUUGACGGUACCUCCAGAAGAAGCUCCGGCUAACUACGUGCCAGCAGCCGCGGUAAUACGUAGGGAGCAAGCGUUGUCCGGAAUCAUUGGGCGUAAAGCGCGCGUAGGCGGCCCUGUAAGUCCGUUGUGAAAGUCAAAGGCUCAACCUUUGAAAGCCGAUGGAUACUGCAGGGCUAGAGUCCGGAAGAGGCGAGUGGAAUUCCUGGUGUAGCGGUGGAAUGCGCAGAUAUCAGGAGGAACACCAAUAGCGAAGGCAGCUCGCUGGGACGGUACUGACGCUAAGGCGCGAAAGCGUGGGGGGCGAACAGGAUUAGAUACCCUGGUAGUCCACGCCGUAAACGAUGGGCACUAGGUGUGGGAGGUGUCGACUCCUCCCGUGCCGUCGCUAACGCACUAAGUGCCCCGCCUGGGGGGUACGGCCGCAAGGCUUAAACUCAAAGGAAUUGACG
rnacentral:rRNA from 1 species